AGAAUCAACGCUGGCGGCGUGCCUAACACAUGCAAGUCGAACGAGAAAGUGGAGCAAUCCAUGAGUACAGUGGCGCACGGGUGAGUAACACGUGAAUCAUCUACCUUCGAGUGGGGAAUAACUGAGAGAAAUCUUAGCUAAUACCGCAUAAUACCCACGGGUCAAAGCAGCAAUGCGCUUGAAGAGGAGUUCGCGGCAGAUUAGUUAGUUGGCGGGGUAAUGGCCCACCAAGACGAUGAUCUGUA
rnacentral:rRNA from 1 species